rnacentral:lncRNA from 8 species
UGUUUUGUACACUCACUGUAUGAUAGGGUAUCAACCAGAGUCUAUCGUUCAAAAACCUCAGACCAACCUGGCCCACACCUGAUCCAGUUCAUCAUCACUACCAGCCAACCUGGCCCACACCUGAUCCAGUUCAUCAUCACUACCAGCCAACCUGGCCCACACCUGAUCCAGUUCAUCAUCACUACCAGCCAACCUGGCCCACACCUGAUCCAGUUCAUCAUCACUACCAGCCAACCUGGCUCACACCUGAUCCAGUUCAUCAUCACUACCAGCCAGCCAGGUCAGCAGGAUGACCUAACCCAUGUGGACACCAGUCAGCCGGGUCAGCAGGAUGACCUAACCCAUGUGGACACCAGCCAGCCAGGCCAGCAGGAUGAGCUAACCCAUGUGGACACCAGCCAGCCAGGCCAGCAGGAUGACCUAACCCAUGUGGACACCAGCCAGCCAGGCCAGCAGGAUGACCUAACCCAUGUGGACACCAGCCAGCCAGGUCAGCAGGAUGACCUAACCCAUGUGGACACCAGCCAGCCGGGUCAGCAGGAUGACCUAACCCAUGUGGACACCAGUCAGCCAGGUCAGCAGGAUGACCUAACCCAUGUGGACACCAGCCAGCCAGGUCAGCAGGAUGACCUAACCCAUGUGGACACCAGCCAGCCGGGUCAGCAGGAUGACCUAACCCAUGUGGACACCAGUCAGCCAGGUCAGCAGGAUGAACUAACCCAUGUGGACACCAGCCAGCCGGGUCAGCAGGAUGACCUAACCCAUGUGGACACCAGUCAGCCGGGUCAGCAGGAUAAACUAACCCAUGUGGACACCAGCCAGCCGGGUCAGCAAGAUGAACUAACCCAUGUGGACACCAGUCAGCCGGGUCAGCAGGAUGACCUAACCCAUGUGGACACCAGUCAGCCGGGUCAGCAGGAUGACCUAACCCAUGUGGACACCAGUCAGCCGGGCCAGCAGGAUGACCUCACCCAUGUGGACACCAGUCAGCCAGGUCAGCAGGAUGACCUAACCCAUGUGGACACCAGUCAGCCGGGUCAGCAGGAUGACCUAACCCAUGUGGACACCAGUCAGCCGGGUCAGCAGGAUGACCUAACCCAUGUGGACACCAGUCAGCCAGGCCAGCAGGAUGACCUAACCCAUGUGGACACCAGUCAGCCGGGUCAGCAGGAUGACCUCACCCAUGUGGACACCAGUCAGCCGGGUCAGCAGGAUGACCUAACCCAUGUGGACACCAGUCAGCCGGGUCAGCAGGAUGACCUAACCCAUGUAGACACCAGUCAGCCAGGUCAGCAGGAUGACCUAACCCAUGUGGACACCAGUCAGCCGGGUCAGCAGGAUGACCUAACCCAUGUAGACACCAGUCAGCCGGGUCAGCAGGAUGACCUAACCCAUGUGGACACCAGUCAGCCGGGUCAGCAGGAUGACCUAACCCAUGUAGACACCAGUCAGCCGGGUCAGCAGGAUGACCUAACCCAUGUGGACACCAGUCAGCCGGGUCAGCAGGAUGACCUAACCCAUAUGGGCGCCAGCUGUGAGUCUGUGAACACAUAG